CUGCCGUGUGUUUUUUUUUUUAUCAUUUUUUAUCAUUUGUCAAAUAGUAUUUUAUUUUGAAUUUUGAUAAAAUAUAAAUUUAAAUAAUUAAUUAUAGAAAUACGACAGCUCUGAUGAUAAAUAUAAUAUUUUCUAUGUUUGGCUAUCGGUACGCAAGCAUGCAAAAUUUAAAAUGGGUCUUUGUGAUUUAUUUGGUUAAUUAUUAUUUAUUAUACUCUGUUUAGAUUAACGCUGGUAAGUCAACUCGCGAAUCAUAUUCGAUUCGUAAUGUGUUCAAGAUCGAAUUACUCAUUUAAUAAAUGAGCCGAUCAUGAACUGAAUUCUAGCUUUGUAUCUUA
rnacentral:lncRNA from 1 species